GGCGCUUUGGCGGAGUGGUUACGCAGCGGUCUGCAAAACCGCGUACACCGGUUCAAUUCCGGUAGGCGCCUCCA
rnacentral:tRNA from 1 species